rnacentral:rRNA from 1 species
UACGGAAGGCAGCAGUGGGGAAUAUUGGACAAUGGGCGAAAGCCUGAUCCAGCCAUGCCGCGUGUGUGAAGAAGGUCUUCGGAUUGUAAAGCACUUUAAGUUGGGAGGAAGGGCAGUAAAUUAAUACUUUGCUGUUUUGACGUUACCGACAGAAUAAGCACCGGCUAACUCUGUGCCAGCAGCCGCGGUAAUACAGAGGGUGCAAGCGUUAAUCGGAAUUACUGGGCGUAAAGCGCGCGUAGGUGGUUCGUUAAGUUGGAUGUGAAAUCCCCGGGCUCAACCUGGGAACUGCAUUCAAAACUGACGAGCUAGAGUAUGGUAGAGGGUGGUGGAAUUUUCCUGUGUAGCGGUGAAAUGCGUAGAUAUAGGAAGGAACACCAGUGGCGAAGGCGACCACCUGGGACUGAUACUGACACUGAGGUGCGAAAGCGUGGGGAGCGAAACAGGAUUAGAUACC